rnacentral:rRNA from 1 species
UACGGAGGGGGCGAGCGUUAUUCGGAAUUAUUGGGCGUAAAGGGUGCGUAGGCGGCCCGGUAAGUCAAAGGUGAAAUCCCUCGGCUCAACUGAGGAACUGCCUUUGAAACUGUCGGGCUUGAGGCCGGGAGGGGGUAGUGGAAUUCCCAGUGUAGCGGUGAAAUGCGUAGAUACUGGGAGGAACACCAGUGGCGAAGGCGGCUACCUGGACCGGUUCUGACGCUGAUGCGCGAAAGCGUGGGUAGCAAACAGG